rnacentral:snRNA from 1 species
GUGCUUGCUUCAGCUACACAUAGACUAAAAUUGGAACAAUACAGAGAAAAUUAGUAUGGCCCCUGUGCAAGGAUGACACGCAAAUUCAUGAAGAAUUCCAUAUUUUU